CAGCCGCCUUCGAGACGCGGCGCGUAUUUCCUCGUCGGUUUCCUCGCUUCGCCAGCAUAGACGCGCACAACAUAGAGUACGAGGUUUGAAACAAGGCUCCGAAAUCCGUAUUAACAUUUCAAAGGGUGUAUGAGUAAUAAAUCUAGCUUGCCAGUGUGGCGUGAAGCUACGGAUUCCGCAGUGCUCCAUAAUAAAUGUCACUGCGAACUGGAGCAGAUAAACUUCCUUCACGUGCGCAGGCUAAUAUGCUCGUUUCGUUUGCGGAAGCUUCGCUACAAACAAUUUGCCUGAAAUUGCCGUACGUGCACGAUAACCGCUCGGGAAAACGGAAAUGGCCCCCUCGAGAAUGCGGUGACUUGCAAAUUCACGUCUAGCAACGCUGCUUGAAUGCGAUCGUCCUUAGAAAUUUAUGCAAGUAAGAAAAACUAUAUUUUUCUUAAAUGACAAAACCAAAAACAAUAUCCGAGCAAACUAUUAAACAGUAAGUAAUGAAAUUAGCGUUAGAAUCUAUCAGAUUAAAUGGGAAUCUAUCAAAUGAUUACAUUAACCAUUCUCUAA